rnacentral:rRNA from 1 species
GCGGCGGUGUGAACGUAGCUGCGGCGAGUGAAGCGGGAAGAGCUCAAAUUUGAAAUCUGGUAGCCUUCGGUUGCCCGAGUUGUAAUCUAGAGAAGUGUUUUCCGUGCCGGCCCAUGUACAAGUCCCUUGGAACAGGGCGUCAUAGAGGGUGAGAAUCCCGUCCUUGACAUGGACCCACGGUGCUUUGUGAUACACUUUCAACGAGUCGAGUUGUUUGGGAAUGCAGCUCAAAAUGGGUGGUGAAUUCCAUCUAAAGCUAAAUAUUGGCGAGAGACCGAUAGCGAACAAGUACCGUGAGGGAAAGAUGAAAAGCACUUUGGAAAGAGAGUUAAACAGUACGUGAAAUUGUUGAAAGGGAAACGAUUGAAGUCAGUCAUGCUCUUAGGAUUCAGCCGUUCUGCGGUGUAUUUCCUUUGAGUGGGGUCAACAUCAGUUUUGAUCGAUGGAUAAAGGCACGAGGAAGGUAGCACUCUCGGGUGAACUUAUAGCCUCGCGUCAUAUACAUUGAUUGGGACUGAGGAACGCAGCAUGCCUUUAUGGCCGGGAUUCGUCCACGUACAUGCUUAGGAUGUUGACAUAAUGGCUUUAAACGACCCGUCUUGAACCCCCGGAACCA